UACGGAGGGUGCAAGCGUUAUCCGGAUUUACUGGGUUUAAAGGGUGCGUAGGUGGGUAGAUAAGUCAGCGGUGAAAUCUCUAGGCUUAACCUGGAAACUGCCAUUGAUACUAUCUGUCUUGAAUAUCCUGGAGGUGAGCGGAAUAUGUCAUGUAGCGGUGAAAUGCUUAGAUAUGACAUAGAACACCUAUUGCGAAGGCAGCUCACUACGGGAUUAUUGACACUGAGGCACGAAAGCGUGGGGAUCAAACAGG
rnacentral:rRNA from 1 species